rnacentral:rRNA from 1 species
AUAUUGGACAAUGGGCGAAAGCCUGAUCCAGCCAUGCCGCGUGUGUGAAGAAGGUCUUCGGAUUGUAAAGCACUUUAAGUCGGGAGGAAGGGCAUUAACAUAAUACGUUAGUGUAUUGACGUUACCGACAGAAUAAGCACCGGCCAACUCUGUGCUAGCAGCCGCGGUAAUACAGAGGGCGCAAGCGUUAAUCGGAAUUACUGGGCGUAAAGCGCGCGUAGGUGGUUUGUUAAGUUGGAUGUGAAAGCCCCGGGCUCAACCUGGGAACUGCAUCCAAAACUGGCGAGCUAGAGUACGGUAGAGGGUGGUGGAAUUUCCUGUGUAGCGGUGAAAUGCGUAGAUAUAGGAAGGAACACCAGUGGCGAAGGCGACCACCUGGACUGAUACUGACACUGAGGUGCGAAAGCGUGGGGAGCAAAC